rnacentral:misc_RNA from 1 species
GUUAGGUUGCUGAAGUUUCCUUUUGAGUUGUUAUAGCUUCUCUAAAUUUUAGUUGCCUAUUCUUGAAAAUGUCAUCCAAUCCAUUAGUUAGUACAGGAAUUAAACAGAAAUCUUAUGUGCAAUUGCCAUCUAGACAAAGUUGUCCUCAUUAUCUGUCCCGUAACUCAUUUAAUACUCACCAUAACUUACACACACACUCACACACACAAAACACAUCUGAUCUCUCAUGCAGAUUACCAUUUGCUCC